UUGUUUAUUUUGAAAGAUAUUUUCGACAUUUUUUAUAUUGGUCGGAAAAUAAUUUACAACUUAAAAUGAUCGCUAUUGGCCGGGAAUAAUAUCGUGGAAUUGCUUGCCCUUGUGAUUUCACGACAACGACAAAAUCAGCGUGGAGCUAUCAAAUUUAUUUUUCAUCUGCAUGUGAUCAGAAUUACGUAAGUCACGUUUAUUAAUUUUGUCCAUGGGACCGCUAUAGAUAUAUGUCGCUAAAAUGUCUUUUGCACAGCGCCUCGAUCUGGAAAAUGUGGGGUAAAAGGCAAAAACCCAUGCGGUGAAUUGGUUACUACUGCAAGUAUCAAUAGCACUUCAAAACAAGUGGAAGAAGCUAUAUAUGGGGUUUAAAUAUUCCUGGAGUUGCAAAGCAUUUUAUCUGGAGGGAGGGUAGAGAAUUAUUACCUUCUCCCAACCAGCAGGCCGUUCUGAUGCAUGGGGGUAAAGGGAGUGGUACUCCACUUCAGAAAUGGUCAAGCUAUGGGGAGAAUUUCUUAAAUAUGUGGGAGGAUCUGUGUAGCGAGUUAAAGAAGGAUAACUUGAACCUAUUCAUGUGGUCAUAAUGAGAAGCAUCUGGCAUGGAAGAAACUUGUUCAUCUUUGAAGCUAAGUUCUCGAUCGGCUCCUCAAAGGGUGUGAAUUGCAUGCAUGAUCUAUAUAUGGAUGGUUUGGAAGAAUUUCAUCAGGAGCCCAUAUGGUUUAAGAGGAGAAGCAACACAAUAGGGUGAUCGAGAGAAUAGCUCAAUGCUGGAAGAGACCCGGGAAAGAUUGCUGCAAAGCAAAUUUUGAUGCAGUAAUUGAAAUUAAAAACCAGAUAAUGGGCAUAUAUAUAGGUGUGAUUGUUAGAAAUUGUAAUGGUGAAAUAUUGGCUGCCUUGCAUGAACAAAGACAGGGAAUAUAUAGAUCUAUUAAUGCAGCAGAAUGCAUGCAUGGCCUUAUGGAGACGGAUGUCGAGAUCAUGUGUACAAAAUUGGGUUUCAAAGAGUUUUGUUUGAAGGUGAUGCACAAAAGAUUAUAAAAGCUGUACUGAAUAUAUACUGAAGAGGAUUGGUCUACUUUUGGAUAGAUUAUAGAAGAUACAAGAAAGGUUUUCAAUUA